rnacentral:rRNA from 1 species
AUUGAACGCUGGCGGAAUGCUUUACACAUGCAAGUCGAGCGGCAGCGCGGGGGCAACCCUGGCGGCGAGCGGCGAACGGGUGAGUAAUGCAUCGGAACGUACCCAGUCGUGGGGGGAUAACGUGGCGAAAGUCACGCUAAUACCGCAUACGUCCUGAGGGAGAAAGCAGGGGAUCGCAAGACCUUGCGCGAUUGGAGCGGCCGAUGUCUGAUUAGCUAGUUGGUGGGGUAAAGGCCUACCAAGGCGACGAUCAGUAGCUGGUCUGAGAGGACGAUCAGCCACACUGGGACUGAGACACGGCCCAGACUCCUACGGGAGGCAGCAGUGGGGAAUUUUGGACAAUGGGCGAAAGCCUGAUCCAGCCAUUCCGCGUGAGUGAAGAAGGCCUC